UAACAGCCCCAACCUGCUCAUCUGUGCAGAGGCUAACACUCUUUAUUUCAGGCAUAAACAGGACCUGAAAGAUGCAACAUUGUACACCAGCUCAUAUCCCUGCCCUGAGUGCUUGGAUUUAAUCAAAGAAACCAAAGGUAUCACAAGGAUUGUUUGUGUGAAACCCGAAGGUGAAUUUUCCGCCACACCCAUGGAGGGAAUAACAUGUAAAAUGUGGAAACAAAACACAGGCAUAAAAGGAGAUGCCAUAAAUUGCCUGGACUUCACGAGCUCAAAUGAGAAGCUUAAGCAGGAGACCACAGAUGAGGGAGAAUGUGAGUGAAGCAACAGAUGGUGGUCAGCGUGGAUUUUACUGUCGCAGUGCCUCAGAAGCCCUGCAAGAAAACAGGACCACGCUGAGUUGAUGGGAUGACUAUUCAUACUCAGCACCCAUCAAAAAGCUUCCUUCACUAUCUUUUACAAGCAACUAAUAGUUUGUAGUUUAAAUCAUUGGUGCAAUAAUAACACUUUAAAAUUGAACAAAGGAAAUAGGAAGUAUGAAAGUCCAGUGAAAUACAAGUGCGAAUUGAAGGUAAAAUUAAGGGAGGAAAUAGAGGGAAAUUAUUUAGUUUACUGGUUGGGAAGCAGAUCUGGGAAAUAGGUGGUAGUUAGAUGGGUGGCUAAAUGUUCCAGCAGAAUCAAAUCUUGAUUAGUCUAGCUGCUGUUCGGAUUCCUUUGCUGAUCAUUGAGCAGGGUGUUCACAUGUGAUGGCAGCAUUUUUCCACAUUACACAUUGCACCUGCAGACCAAGUAGGUUUUAAGGUUUCAAGGUCAGUUUAUUGUCACAUGUACCACAAAGUGCAGUGAAAUUUGAGUUAUCAUACAGCCAUAUUAAGUGAAAAGUAACAAGACACACAGACACAUGAAAUAAAAUUUAACAUAAACAUCCACCACAGCGCCUCCCCACAUUCCUCACUGUGAUGGAAGGCAAUAAAAUCCAUUCUUCUCCCUCUUUAUUCUCCCGCGAUUGGGGUUGUCGAACCAUUCACUUUUAGGGCCAUCAAAGCUCCCACAGUCGAUGAUCCGAAGCCCUCGCGUCGGGGUGAUCGAAACUCCCACGUCGGGAUGGUUGAAAUUCUCCGAGGCUUGGAGCUCCCGAAUCGGUCUCUAACCAGGCACCGCGGUCUCCAUGAUGUUAAAGUCCACAGACCCGCAGUUACUCUCCACAGUCGAUCCCCGGCAAAGAGAUCUCUGGCAAAGAGAGCGCCGGGUUGGUUUCCAGGAACGGCUGCGCCACUCCACGAUGUUAGGCCGCAGUGGGGACGGAGAUACGAUACAGAAAAAAAUCGCAUCUCCGUCGAGGUAAGAGCCCCCCAGCCCCCCCACAUAAAACCAAGGAAUUAAAACAUACUCUUUACCACAUACUUAAAAUGACAAAAACAGUAGGAAGGACAGACAGACUGUUGGCGAGAUGAAGAAUGGCUGAUUUAAGGGUGGCACAUCUGCUCACAGUGCAGGAGACCCAUGUUCAAUCCUAAUCCCAGCUGUUAUCUGUAUGGUGUCUGCAUGUUCUCUCUGCUACCACGUGGGUUUCUCCAGCUACCCUAUCCCACUCCAUAGAUGUGCAGGUUGGUAGAAUCUGGGAGUGCCGUAUGUGUGAAGACAAUAAGAUACGAUUAACUUUGGCAAUAGUAUAAUGGGUAAAUGGUUUUGUUAUUAUCACGUGUACCAAGAUAGAGUGACAUACUAUUUUUGCAUAUAGAUCAGCAAGAGUAUCACCGUACAUACGCACCAUCCCAGGGUUAGUACAAAAUGUACAAAACUGCCCACUGAGAUCAUAUACAAGAAGCGCCAUUUUCCCGCCAUUUCACAGACCCAGCAGCAGCCGGCCACAAAGAUCCAGUGCAGCCUCCAUUCUGGUCAUCCUGCGAACCAUUGUUCCUCUUCUUGCAUGGCUCUCUUCAGACCUUGUUCCUUCCACAGCUGACUUUGAGGGUGCGGAAAGUAACCCCCACCCCCCACCCCUCUGGGCUCCUCUUACGAGCCUUUUGUCCAGCGUCCUCUGCCAUCGCCGUAACCCUCCACCUCCUCUCUGAUUCCCAGUCUUCAGGACUGAGCAGAGGCUAGGCUCACUGGACUUCCAGGCCGAUUCCCGGUUCCACAGCGGGCAAGCCAGCCUUGCUGUUUGAUGCCGCGGCAUGCCGGGACCUUCUCACCGUGCCAAGUUGGUGGUUGGUGGUCAGCAAGGACUUGGGCCAAAGGGCCUCUUUCCAUGCUGUAUUUUCUCAUGACAUGGCCAAAAUUGAAACAAAUAACUUCUGCAUUAAAUAGCCAUAUUAGGCCAUAUUGGGUUGUUGGGCUGUGAGUAAUUGUAAAGUAAUGGAAGAACAAUUGUGGAAAGAAAGCAAAGCCCCUAGAGUGAGGGAAAAGGACUGACAGGUCAUCUUUGUGCACAUCUUUGUGCUCUCUUUUUUACACAGAGAGUGGUAAAUCUCUGGAAUUCUCUGCCACAGAAUGUAGUUGAGGCCAGUUCAUUUGCUAUAUUUAGGAGGGAGUUAGAUGUGGCCCUUGUGGCUAAAGGGAUUAGGAGGUAUGGAGAGAAAGCAGGUACAGGAUACUGAGUUGGAUGAUCAGCCAUGAUCAUAUUGAAUGGUGGUGCAGGCUCGAAGGGCCGAAUGGCCUACUCCUGCACCUAUUUUCUAUGUUUCUAUGUGUCCUUCAACAGGAUCAGAUUUUAAUUCAUCAGAGAUGGUUAGCGUGUAAUGGAAUGAAAAUGACUUUAUUCUGACGAAACUCCAGCUUUAUAUUGCUUUUUACUUAGAAUGCCAAUGUAUGCAAGAAUGUUAUUUUAAAUCAACAUUUUAAUCCAGCUCAUGAUUGAAUUUGUGUUUUGAUGACAAUUAAAAUCAAUGGUGAUGGUAAGGAAAAUUCUGUUUCAUAAUUUUUUUAAAUCAAAGCUGAUGUCUACAUUUUGACAAUACGGUCCUUGAAUGAUUGUGAAGUACUUUGAAAUGUUCAAUGAGAGGCUCAGUGUGAUUGCAGGCCUUCCUUGUUUUUUUUUCAAUCGAUGGUCCUUUCCAAAAUUAUUAUGGGUCUCCUUUAACUAGAAGCUAAAUAAUGAUGGGUCAGCCUUUCUAGGAUGGACCUGUAUCACCCUGCUCUACUGCAACCAAAGCGAGAGUCCAGUAAAAUGUAACAAAUAUCUCAUGAUGACCAUAGAAGCAGAUAGAAAUUGUAGGAUCAGGUGGUUGGGGACUAACUCAGUUAUGCAACUUGAUUGUAUGUACAACUUAUUCCAAAGGCCGUUUUCAAUGGUGUUUCGCUCUAUGAUCCUCAGUUGCAAUCACAAUGCUCAGUUCACUUUGACGCGUGCCAGUCCAAUUUUAUUUCUGAACGACUUGGUGGGUCUCAGUUUGGACAGAAUCUGGAAUAAGAGUGAAUCAUUUCCAGAAAGGCUGUAAUUCAAUGACUCUUGUAAUUAUGAGAGCAACAAUCAUGCUGUGAGCCACUCAAUUUGAUUUUAGACUGAGUUGCACCAAUGCACUGAUUAUUUAAGUUUCAUACUGCAGUGGUGGAAAUGUUUCAACGUUUCUUCCAACGUGCAAAGCUUAUCCCUGCACCUGAGAUUAGCUUGGGGUGCACACAUAAUUACCUAGACCUAGCAGAGGUCAGUUCGUGAUGGACUGAAAGGUCUUUUUCUGGGAGCAUCCUCUCCCAGCCCCAGUACCAACAAUGAUGCUCUGCCUAAACUCCCUCAGUACUUUAUUCACAUCCCUGAUGUGGGGGGUUCCACCUGAAACAUCAAC